UACGGAGGGGGCUAGCGUUGUUCGGAAUUACUGGGCGUAAAGCGCACGUAGGCGGCUUUGUAAGUUAGAGGUGAAAGCCCAGGGCUUAACCCUGGAAUUGCCUUUAAGACUGCAUCGCUAGAAUUGUGGAGAGGUGAGUGGAACUGCGAGUGUAGAGGUGAAAUUCGUAGAUAUUCGCAAGAACACCAGUGGCGAAGGCGGCUCACUGGCCCGAUACUGACGCUGAGGCACGGAAGCGUGGGGAGCAAACAGG
rnacentral:rRNA from 1 species